rnacentral:rRNA from 1 species
GUUUGAUUCUGGCUCAGAACGAACGCUGGCAGCGUGGAUUAGGCAUGCAAGUCGAACGUGAAGCCGUUGAACAAUCUUUCGGGAGAGUGAUUCGGUGGAAAGUGGCGGAAGGGUGAGUAACGCGUGGGUGAGCUGUCUCGAAGUUGGGGACAACCAGAUGAAAAUCUGGCUAAUACCGAAUGUGGUCUUCUGGCGCAUGUCAGGAUGACUAAAGGUGGGGAUUCUUCGGAACCUGCCGCUUUGAGAGGUGCCCGCGUGCCAUCAGCUUGUUGGUAGGGUAAUGGCCUACCAAGGCUUACGGCUAGCCGGCCUGAGAGGGUGAUCGGCCACACUGGGACUGAGACACUGCCCAGACUCCUACGGGAGGCUGCAGUCGAGGAUCAUUCGCAAUGCGCGAAAGCGUGACGAUGCGACGCUGCGUGGGGGAUGAAGGCCUUCGGGUCGUAAACUCCUGUCAUGAGGGAACAGUAUCCCUGUAAUUAAUAGUUGCGGGGCUCGAUGGUACCUCAAGAGGAAGCCACGGCUAACUCUGUGCCAGCAGCCGCGGUAAUACAGAGGUGGCGAGCGUUGUUCGGAUUUACUGGGCGUAAAGGGUGCGUAGGUGGUUUUGUGUGUCGGAUGUGAAAUCCCAUGGCUCAACUGUGGAAUUGCAUUCGAAACUGCGGAACUAGAGUGCAGGAUGGGAGAGCGGAAUUCUUGGUGUAGCGGUGAAAUGCGUUGAUAUCAAGAAGAACACCGGUGGCGAAGGCGGCUCUCUGGAAUGCUACUGACACUGAGGCACGAAAGCUGGGGGAGCGAACAGGAUUAGAUACCCUGGUAGUCCCAGCCGUAAACGGUGCACACUUGGUGUGGGGAGAUUUAACCCUCUCCGUGCCGGAGUUAACGCGUUAAGUGUGCCGCCUGGGGAGUACGGCCGCAAGGCUAAAACUCAAAGAAAUUGACGGGGGCCCGCACAAGCGGAGGAGCAUGUGGCUUAAUUCGAUGCAACGCGAAGAACCUUACCAGGGCUUGACAUGGGGACCCUUCGGGGGUGGUAGCGAAAGUUACCUUUACCAUCACAGGUGCUGCAUGGCUGUCGUCAGUUCGUGCCGUGAGGUGUUGGGUUAAGUCCCGUAACGAACGCAACCCUUGUGGCUAGUUGCCACCGGUGGUGAUGAGCCGCCGAGCACUCUAGCCAGACUGCCCGUACAAGCGGGAGGAAGGUGGGGAUGACGUCAAGUCAGUAUGGCCCUUACGUCCUGGGCUGCACACGUGCUACAAUGGUCGGUACAGUGGGAUGCAAUACCGCGAGGUGGAGCAAAUCCCCAAAGCCGCCCUCAGUUCGGAUUGAAGUCUGCAACUCGACUUCAUGAAGUUGGAUUCGCUAGUAACGGCGCAUCAGCUACGGCGCCGUGAAUACGUUCCCGGGCCUUGUACACACCGCCCGUCACAUCAUGAAAGCCGUCUGCACCCGAAGUCGCUGAGCCAACCAUUUAUGGAGGCAGGUGCCGAAGGUGUGGGUGGUGAUUGGGAUGAAGUCGUAACAAGGUA